UGGAUCCUCCGGUAGUGCUGA
rnacentral:misc_RNA from 1 species